rnacentral:lncRNA from 1 species
AUGCUGAUCUGUUUAUCCAGAGGAAAAACUGCUUCUUCAGACUUCUAUGAGGUGAUAAGAGUAAUGUUUUUAUGCACUAAUGACUUGGGAAUUUGUUCUUCUUUCUAUCAGGGCCUAAUAGCAAUGAUUUAUAUCAUCCCUGGUGACAUAAACACCUUGGUCAAUUAUUUCAGUUUUGCUACAUGGUUAUUUUAUGGGAUGACGAUUAUAGGACUUCUUGUGAUGAGGUUUACGAAGAAAAACCAGGAAAGGCCUAUCAAGGUGCCUAUUUUCAUCCCCGUCUUGGUGAUUCUCCUAUCUGUGUUUUUGGUUCUGGCGCCGAUCAUCAGCAAGCCUGCCUGGGAAUAUCUCUACUGUGUGUUGUUUAUACUGAGCGGCCUUAUAUUUUACUUCCUUUUUGUCUACUGCAAGUUUGGAUGGGCUCAGAAAAUCUCAAGUAAGUAUCACCAGAAGGCUUCUUGAUAUUAGAAAAGGUCAGGCAGCCUAGCAAACCACCACCUUACCUCUCCUCAUCCUGCAAAUACCCUCAUCACAGGAUCCAGCAGAUGUCACCCCAGGACA